AUGACAGUUAUACACAUGUAAUUUAUAUCUAGUCAAUAAGUGUCAGCAAAUGUCUUUGUAUCGCAGAAAAAAUAUAGAGAAAAAUCAUGUAAAAAAUCAUUUGUGUAUAAAUAUUUCAAAUUCAUCAAAAAUCAAUAUCUAGUGAUUAGAAAAGAUUCAAUUUUGUUAUCUUAAGUUUUGAAUUUUUUCUUUUUUAGUAGCUUUGAUAUCUAAGUUUACCAUAGAGGUAGACUAAUUAUCUCCCGAUUUUAUCUCUAUAGAGAAACUAUAUACAGAGAGUUACUGCCUUUAACCUUGUACUGAAUCAGCUGGCUGAACCUAGGAUAGGUGUCAGUGACUGAUCGUGGUGACGACUGGUACAGGGUCAUCAGUCUCCAGAUUUAAAUAAUCAUUGUUGUCUGGUAACCUGUAAUCCUGUAUCAGCUGGUUCAUUGGAGAUUGACAUCAGUUUGAAAAGAUAAUUUCCUUUUUGAUGUCUUAAAAUGUUAAAAGUCUAUGAUUCUGACUGUUAAAUUAGAUCAUUGUCUAUAUAUAUAUUAUGAUAUUAUAUAAAUUAAAUAGAAAUUGAGCAGGAAAUAAGUAUGAUAGUUUCAGUAUAUUUAUGUGAAUUUCAUGUAAAGUCAAUUUUUUAAGCUUAUAAUUAUGCAAACUAACAGUUUGAGUCAUUCUAUAAAAAAAAGUCUAGUUCUUUAUUAAUUGUGUUGAAAUAGACUUAAACAACGCAACCUGAUUCCAUGUGUACACACAAUAACACACACACGUACACGUAUAUUACACUAUAACUGUCAUUACUGGUAGUGUUUUUAUCUUAUCUAUAACAUAUGUAUUGUUAAAACUACUUAUCAAAUCAGUACAUUAUUGUGUUGUUAUGAUAUAGAGUAAUUUUACCCUAUUUCGACCUCAAGUCAAGCUUUACAUAGUGUACAUCAAACCGACCUGAAUCAUUGAUAUUUCUAUUCCAUUGUCUCUAAUUCUACCACCAUACAUUAAUUGCCAAACUCCCUUUAAAGUGCCAAAAAGUGGCUGCCAAUAAUUGCUGGCAUUAAAAGAAGUUUUACUUUGUGGUACUAUAUAUGUAUAUCAGUGAUCAACAUUUACACGAUACUGUAAACGUUCCAUGUUUUAGUGGUAAUCUUAUUUUGGCGCUUUUCACUCUUGAAGCAUUACACUAAAUUAUGACUGCGCUAAUUACAUCAUCUAUAAUGCUGCUCUUACAGAAAUAUGAGAAUGCGUUAAUUCUUCAGUGUGAUAAUUUCUUAUAAUUUGGAAAUGCUCGAAAAUUUGAGUAUGCUAAAGUUAUAACAUUUACAGUAAUUUACACAAUUAUGAGGAUGUCUGUAUAAGAAUAAAACUACAUGCAUUAGUUAAUCCGUGUACUGUAUUAUUAAGUCAGAAUGAGAAAUUAUUAUGAUGAUUCAGUCGUUAUUAGCUAAUAUGGUCUGAAGGGCCAAGUGAUCAUGUGCCCUGAUGCGGCAUUCAUCCGUCGGUCGUCUGGCGUCGUCAUUCUGCUGUCAACUUUUCCUUUUAAAUUAAUUCUCAUUAACCAAGAGGUCCAUGGUUAUGAUUUUUGGCCAAUAGGUUCCUUGGAUGGCAAAAAGAAAUGAUCUUGACCUAUAUUCACUGGGGUCAAAUUCAUUUGACUUCUUCUCACAAACCAAAUUAAAUGGCCUAUAAUAUAAUCAUGACAUUUGGCUGGUAAGCUCCUGGGAUCGAUAGAGCCGCUCAUAGUUUGUGACCUUGACCUAUAUUAAAACAUACAAAGGACUUUGUAUGAUUGAAAUAUAUAACUGAAUGUCCCAAAACCAAUUUCUUUUGAUUAAAUGAAAGGCAGAGAAUUGUCAAACAAAUAAUACCAGGUGAAUGAUGCAGGCCCAUUGGGCCUCUUUUAACUUGUACUAGGCAUAUUUUGUCAAAUCUGAAAUAGGUGUACAUAAAUAUGUACCUUACAAGUUUUCGUAAGGUCAGUGUUUAAUUUAUACCUGAUCGGUCUGAGUUUCAAACUUACUGUUGUUAGCAUUGUGAUGGACAUUUGUAACACAUUCUUUAGCUUAAAAGUUUCCAUACAAAAAACAUUAAAGAAAUAAAGGAAAGUUCCUUCCUAGGAUCUGUUUCCUUAAGUCCAAUACAUUAUGUAAUUCUUUCCUUAAUCUAAGGAACAUUGAUGAAACUUGAGCCAGGAUGGAAAUUAAUUUUGCUUUUCUAGAGGUUUUAAGUCAAAGUAGAUUAUAUUUGACCAAAUAAUAACAUUGUAGGUGCUCCUAUCCUUGGCUAAGCAUUAAUCCCCUCUCUGUCAUAAUUGUACACACAUUAUCAGCUGUUUAUCUGAAAUGUUCUCCAGUCUGUUCUAGUUCUGUUUAUGACAUCACACCUAGAACUCUGUAUGUUCAGUGAAACAUCUGUCACGUACGUAAACAAAGAAAAUGUUGUGAUGUGUAAAUUCACAUCAGAAGCAAACAGAAAGGGAAAGAGAGAGGGCAUAUGUUUAAUUAUAUUAAAAUUUAUAAUAGGCAUUCUCCUAUGGAAAUUACCAUAAUUAUCAACUCUGAGAAUGGGAUCUUUGAUUAUUAGUACCCAGUAAUAUAAGUCAUACUUGGGUACGUACCACUAAUUCAUAAAAAAAAAUUAACUGCUACAUCAUUUUUUUUCUGCUCACUUAAAUGCGUCUAUAUUUUUGUAUAAGAGUUGCAGACAAGGUUUAUGACAGGAACAUCAUACCCAUUCGCUAGAAAAAUCAACAUAAAUUUCAAUGUACAAAAAGUGUAUUUCAAUGUGAUGGAAAGAAAGCAAAGUUAACAUUAAAAAAGCCACUUAUAUUAUGGUAAAUAUGAGAUAGGUUUGGUAGGUGGUAUUUACAAUGUGAGUAUAUAAAACUCAAUUAUUGACAGGCCUGUGUGAUUUACAAAUGGUGAACAAUGUUCAGUGUAUUUACAGAGAAAUGUCGCAGACAGGUGUUACAUUACAGAGCUGAUUAAGGUGUAAUGAUGUUGGGAAUGAUAUUUUUAUCCGUGUCAUACUUAAUAUGACUGGUAUUUUAAUAACAUGAAAAUCUGAUAUCCAUAUAUGCAUGCUGUUGUCCAAUUCAAUUUACCAAUAAUUUAUCAAAUGAUCAGGUAUACCUUCAAAGAGCAUUAUUACAGUAUAAAUUUUUGAACAUUAUAGAAAAUGAAAUUUUUGUCACUUUCGUAUAAAAAAAUUAAUUUGACAUCUUCUGCGGUAGCUAUACUUGAACUACAAAAAUGUGUAGUGGGUUAGGUUAGGUUAAUUAUGCCAAUGUAUGUAACACCCGCUCACCACGUCUACCUGCUGCUUAUAUAGGUAUAUAGGUAUAGCAUUCGCAUAUCGACAAGAUACAGCUGCAGCCCAAGGCAAUUCUUAACCAAUCUCUAUACCUAAACAUAUAUCAGUCAAUGUAUACCGACAAAUUAACUACAAUGUUGCUCUGACAUUAUUUAUAUCGAUCGCGAUACAUUACAUAUGUAUACACCCUGGAUUGGUGUAUAAAAGUUUGAUUUGGUUUUUAACUGUCAUCCAGUUAAUAUAUUUUGAAUAUAAGUGUCCAAUGUAAAAAUCAUUCACAUGAAAAUGUCCUCAUAUGAGUCUUAUAGAUUUUUGUGUCUUCAACACGUUUUUACAUGGCCCCUCAGGCAUUUUAUAUUCUGAGCGGAAUCCCUUUUAUAGAUAUACAUCUGUAUAGAGAUGGCAGUAGAUUUUGGAUGUGAGCUAUGGUAUUAUUGAUCAGUAUUUAGUAGUGUAGGGGGACAUGAAUGUGUCGGGCAUUGUCAUUGGGGACCUCUGGCUGUUGUAUUAGAGUACGUACUAAAAGUGUUUGAUGUAGGUUUAUAGUAGAGAGAAACGUGUUCGGUGUUCAAGUCUACAUGUAUGUAAGAGAUUUGUUGUAUUAAAAAAAACGAUAAUUUGAGACAAACGUAGUGAUAGUUGGUUUAUAAGAUUUAGAUUGUAUGAUACUUCUAUCGGUACAUUGACACAUGUACAGGAACAUCGAGCUCUGCAUGUUAAUAUGACUUGUAUGUCACAGUGUGUUGUACAUGUGUAAAGCACCUGUAUAACAGGAGUGAAUCAGGUCUGUUGGAGGCUUUGAUCAGGUUCAUUUGAAGGCUUUGAUCCAAUGGUCAUAUGCACACUGAAAAAUUACACCAAUCCUCACUUUGACUUGCACCCGUCUCAAAAAAUUAAGAUGAUAAGUAAAACUGAACUUUAUAAUUGUGGUCUUCUGGAUAAUGUCGGAUUCUGGAGACUAGUCAAAUUUGGAUCAUGUUUGCAAAUUGAUGUCUUGCCUCAGAUUGUUGGUAGAACCACUCGUUAAUUAUUUGUUAUAUAUUUAUAGGUACUUUUUGAGUCUGCCUCAUUACACUGAUCAGAAAAACUGUAUGUUACAUGGGGGUAAAUCAAACUAGGGGCAGAUCAGCUAGUAAGAAUUUCGCUGGGCAAUUCUUAACUUAAAAUUUAGGAGUCAGUAGCCAUGCUGUCUUAAAUCAUCGCUCUCUAUAUACAUAUAUAGUAUACCUAUGUUACGUCACAGCUGUUCUCAUGAUCUGGGCCAGUUUACAAGCCAACAAGCUGUGUGGUGGUUUAAUAUGUACAAACCUAUAUAGAUACACCGUUCAGUGGUUAUAUACACUUUACUAUAGCGUGAUUCUUGAUAUUAUUAUAGCUGUAAAUACUAGCUUUAUACUCUAAUGAAGUGAUGCAUUAGUACAUAUUACCUGCAAUAACCCAAGGCAUCCAAUAAGUGAUUCAACUUUGGCUUAUUGCCAAAAUAAUAAGUUAAAUAUUCGUCAUCAUCCUAAAAAUGUUUGUUGUCUGUCUAUUAUUGUGAGAAGUUUAAUUUGUGUGUUCCUUGAAAAAUAAUUGAAUUAAGUGGAAAGAAAUAUAUUUCUGUUAACUUGGUUUUGGACAUCUACAAUUUUACCAAUGUAAGAUUUUUUUAUCCCACCCUUGGGUUGAGACAAGCUGCUCUUGUUUUUUGCACGCUCUAACAAUUGUAUGACGUCAUGCACAGCAACAAUACAAUCACAUCACACCAACAUUGUCUUGCAUUGAUGUAACGGCAAUAUUAGAUACAUACGGAGGUAACAUAUGGUGAGAGAAAAAUAAUCAUACAACCUCUUGCGAAUGAGGCAGGGGAAUGUCAAACCUCGGGGUAAGAUUCUUAAUAUAAGCAGUCAGACACUUGGCAAACCUUGUGGUUGGCAACUUUAGAAUCUUCCCCUUGGGUUAAAAUAACCCCAACGGGCUGAAAGGUUGUAAUAAUCACACCCAAGGGUUGAGAUAAGCAAUACAUGUUCUUACCACAUUCUCAACAAUUGGAUGAUGUCACCCUUACAAUAUAACGGUGUCACAUAGACAAUGUUAUCAUGUAACAUCAAUAUUCGCUACAUAAGAGAGUAAGAGACAAAUAAUCACUCAAGUCCUUGGGAGUGAUGGAGACGGGGGGAUCUCAACCCUCAGGGUAAGAUUCUUAAGCUGUCAAACACUUGAUAAGCCACAUGUUUGGCAACCUUAGAAUCUUCCCCAGUAGUUGAGAUUCCCCUGUCUCACUCCCAAGGGAGUGAACGAUUCUAUCAAUGAAGUAAACAUUGAGAUUCCCCGUCUCACUCCCAAGGGAGUGAACGAUUCUAUAAAUCUAUCCUCGUGUAGUAAACAUUGAGAUUCCCUGUCUCACUCCCAAGGGAGUGAACAAUUCUAUCAAUGUAGUAAACAUUGAGAUUCCCCGUCUCACUCCCAAGGGAGUUAGCGAUUCUAUCAAUGUAGUAAACAUUGAGAUUCCCCUGUCUCACUCCCAAGGGAGUGAACGAUUCUAUAAAUCUAUUCUCGUGUAGUAAACAUUGAUGUAUCAUCAGGACCAGGGGAACACAUGUUUUACUGGGACAUAUACUUAGUUGGUAAAGAUUAUCAGCACCUUCAGCAAUAGACAUGAGGAUGAACUCGUUAUAUGGUAUGUUGUUUUACUCAUUAUAUUGGUUAUAUUGUAUCAUUGUUAUUAUCAGUGCAAUUGGAGGACUUUUAUUGUUUAUGGUUUUUCUAGGACAAAUGUCUGUUGUUUGUUAAAACCUAUUCCAGAGAAAUGUCUGUAUUGUUUGUUAAAGUCUUUAUCAGAAAUGUCUGUAUUGUUUGUUGAAGUCUUUAUCAGAAAUGUCUGUAUUGUUUGUUAAAGUCUUUAUCAGAAAUGUCUGUAUUGUUUGUUGAAGUCUUUAUCAGAAAUGUCUGUAUUGUUUGUUAAAGUCUUUAUGAGAAGUUUGUUAAAGUCUUUAUCAGAAAUGUCUGUAUUGUUUGUUGAAGUCUUUCUCCAGCAAAUUUCUGAAUAUCUGUAUUAUAUAUAUAUACAUUGUACUGGUAUAUUGGUAUGUCAGUUUAACAUGGUACAAUUGUUAUGUGAUAUCUGUUAGGAGGUGCUAUGUCCACUUUUACAGUGCUCAGAGAGAAUACAACUAGGUUUUAUUUACUAUGGAGAAGACAAAUUCUGAUAUAGGUACACUUACUAUUAAGGGCAAAUUCUUAUAUAGGUACAAUUACUAGUAAGGACAAUUUCUGAUAUAGGUACAAUUACUAGUAAGGACAAAUUCUGAUAUAGGUAUGGUUACUAGUAAGGACAAAUUCUGAUAUAGGUAUGGUUACUAGGAAGAACAAAUUCUGAUAUAGGUAUGGUUACUAGGAAGGACAAAUUCUGAUAUAGGUACAAUUACUAGUAAGGACAAAUUCUGAUAUAGGUACAAUUACUAGUUAAAGGACAAAUUCUGAUAUAGGUACAAUUACUAGUAAGGACAAUUUCUGAUAUGUAUAAUUACUAGUAAGGACAAAUUCUGAUAUAGGUACAAUUACUAGUAAGGACAAUUUCUGAUAUAGGUACAAUUACUAGUAAGGACAAAUUCUGAUAUAGGUAUGGUUACUAGGAAGGACAAAUUCUGAUAUAGGUACAAUUACUAGUAAGGACAAAUUCUGAUAUAGGUACAAUUACUAGUUAAAGGACAAAUUCUGAUAUAGGUACAAUUACUAGUAAGGACAAUUUCUGAUAUGUAUAAUUACUAGUAAGGACAAAUUCUGAUAUAGGUACAAUUACUAGUAAGGACAAUUUCUGAUAUAGGUACAAUUACUAGUAAGGACAAAUUCUGAUAUAGGUACAAUUACUAGUUAAAGGACAAAUUCUGAUAUAGGUACAAUUACUAGUAAGGACAAAUUCUGAUAUACAGUGUAGAUACAAAUACUAGUAAGGACAAAUUCUGAUAUAGGUACAAUUACUAGUAAGGACAAAUUCUGAUAUAGGUAUGGUUACUAGGAAGGACAAAUUCUGAUAGGUACAAUUACUAGUAAGGUACAAUUUCUGAUAGGUACAAUUACUAGUAAGGACAAAUUCUAUUAGGUACAAUGACUAGUGAGGACAAUUUCUGAUAUAGGUACAAUUACUAGUAAGGACAAUUUCUGAUAUAGGUACAAUUACUAGUAAGGACAAAUUCUGAUAUAGGUAUGGUUACUAGGAAGGACAAAUUCUGAUAGGUACAAUUACUAGUUAAAGGACAAAUUCUGAUAUAGGUACAAUUACUAGUAAGGACAAUUUCUGAUAGGUACAAUUACUAGUAAGGACAAAUUCUGAUAUACAGUGUAGAUACAAAUACUAGUAAGGACAAAUUCUGAUAUAGGUACAAUUACUAGUAAGGACAAAUUCUGUGAUUGCUGAUAAGGAAUCAUGUGUUAAGAGAUUUUAAAAGUGUCGAUAUAGAUUUGUUUUCAAAAUAUAUUGAAGUUGAUACUUUUCAAUGGAAUGGCUGUUAAAUUGUUGUGAUGGCAGGAUUGUAUAAAACAGUGUAUGAUAAUGUUUGACCUGUCAUUGACCGUCAUUGACCGUCAUUGUAAUAGAGAGAUUGUACUAUUACCGUGUAUGAUAAUGUUUGAU